CCUGUGGUAUAUGGAAGUUCUUGGACUAGGGUCAAAACAGAGCCGCAGCUGCUGGCCUACGCCACAGCCACUGUAACAGUGGAUCCAAGCCGAUGACUGAGGAUCUGAGCCACCUCUGUGAGCUAUACCAUAGCUUGAGGCCACACUGGAUCCUUAUCCAAUGAGCAAGGCCAGGGAUUGAACCCGCACCCUGACAGACACUAUGUUGGGGGUUAAUUAAAGUAAUAUAAAUACAGUAUUUAAAUUUUUCAAUCAGGGAAACAAUAUCUGUUACUAGUAAGCAUGCUAUUCUAGCUUUUUAUCACUGUACCAUUUCAAAGUUUCUUCUCUGGCAUAGAGAGCAUUGCAUGUCUCAUUUUAAUAGAACACAUGUUUUCUAUUCAUAACUCUCAUGUAAAUUUUUCCUUCUUAAUUAAGGUAUCCUAUGCAAUCUCAGUUUUAGUGUAUUUUCCCAUAAGAAGUAUUUAUCCUGGUGCCUUUUCAGUGGAAUAGAACUAUACCUUAGUCAUUCGGCCCAAUAGGAUAUAACCUUUUAAACUCAAAACUAUGCUUCCUUGGAAAAAAACAGGAAUUUCAACAUUAAUUUUAUACCAUGCAGAUGGCUGAUCUUAACAAGUCUUUCUUGCUUUUGAAGCUCUUUUCUGAGUUAUCUCUGUGGAAGACUGGCCUCAUGGGCAUGCAUCAGGGCCUGUGCUUAUAAGAUUCCUACACUUGGUUUAAUGUUCUGCCAUCACGAAAUUCUUAAUAUUAUUUGAAUAAGUGAUUGCAUUUUCAUUUUACAUUGGGCCCUCUCUUUAUGUUCAUACUUAAUUCAGAGCAAAGAUAGGGAGUUCCCAUCAUGGCGCAGCAAAAACGAAUCCAACUAGGAACCACGUGGUUGCAGGUUGGAUCCCUGGCCUCACUCAGUGGGUUAAGGAUCCAGCGUUGCCGUGAGCCAUGGCAUAGGUUGCAGAUGCAGCUCAGAUCUGGUGUUGCUGUGGCUCUGAAGUAGGCUACAGCUCCGAUUAAACCCCUAGCCUGGGAACCUCCAUAUGCCCAUAUGCCGUGGGUGAGGCCCUAAAAAGACAAAAGACAAAACAAAACAAAACAAAAAAGCAAAGAUACAGGUCCAAAUUUCAUACAAUGUUCAUGAUUCAGAGAAAAGAGGUAUAGUGUAUAUCUUGAUGAAUUUUUAUCAUAUAUACACACACGUAAAUACCACCUAUUUCAAGAUAAUGAAUAUUUUCAAUCUGUCAUCUAACCACCUCAUACGUCUCCCUAGCCCAUAGUCAGGGUAACCACUAUUUUGACAUAUCUCCAAAUAUUAGUUUUGGUUCUUUUUGAACUUCUUGUUAAUGCAGUCAUAUAGAAUGUAGUUUAUUGUGCUUGGGUUUUCUUUUUAUGCUUCAUUUUUUUUCAAUCUACAACCCUUUGAGACUGAAAAAUCUCAAUUUUUACAGAUAUUUUUCCAUACUGAGAUUUAGGGAAUUUACAAUUAGAACAAGGUCACAGAGUUAGUAAAUGGCAUCAAAUCUAGUUCUGAUAUUAGCUUAGUUGCUAUUGAUUGAUAUGCAACCCAUCUGCAUUUAUUGAACCUAUAUAUUAAAAAGUAGUCCUAGAACAGAAGUCAUAGAAAGGUCCAAUAGAUCACCAAUCCAAAUGCCUGGUGCAUAUUAAAUGCUUAAUAAAUAUUCCAUAAGUGUAUAUUGAACCGUGAGUAUCCUACCAGUUAGAAACAAAAACAUGUAUAACCAAUCUAUAUUUUUCUGAAUACUUCUUUUAGAGUUACUUACUAUUUAUAGUUCUAAGAAUAGCUUUGGAGCCCAUUAGAACCAUCAUCUCAGGAACACAUAUAUACUUGAGGCUCACUAAUAAGUUAAAAAAGCUAACUACAAAUAUAUUGCCUCAAAUCUUAGAGUAAGGGAUCACAACUUCAACAGCUUCAUUUUACAGACAUAGAGAGCAUACUUGUGGUUUCCAAGGGGGAGGGAGGGGAUGCACAGGGAGUUUGGGGUUGGUAGAUGCCAACUAUUUCAUUUGUAAUGGAUAAGGAAUGAGGUCCAGCACAGGGAACUAUUUCCAACCUCUCAGGAUAGAACAUGAUGGAAGAUAGUAUGAGAAAAAGAAUGUGUAUAUGUAUAACCGGGUCACUAUGCUGUGCAGCAGAAAUUGGCAUAAUACUAUAAGUCAACUCUUCUUUAAUUUUAAAAAAAGAAAAAAAGUCAAGAUACUCUUGCAAGACAUUUUCAAAAUACGUAUUAAAAUGAUAUAUGAAUCUCUGUAGAGGCUUCUAUAUAGGAUAGAAAUCUUAACAAGUAUAUAGAUAGUAUCAUAAAUAUAUUUUUUUCAGAAAAACUAAGUAAGAAUAUUAAGCCCAAAUCACUACAUAAAGUGGACAUUUGGUAUUCCAAGAGUAAAAAUUUCCAAUCAUAUUAUUCUUAUUUCUCAAAAUAACUCCAGGUUGGCAUGUUUCCUUCAUCCCCCGCCCCUGCCCCCUGAAUUCUUCUUCAUGUGGUUAACAUUGUCAGAAGAAAUUCAUCAUCCAGAGUUUUAACCCAAAAAGUCAAUGCUAUCAUCAACACUCUCUUCUGUCCACAAUUGAGGAGAACACAAAGAUAUAACUUAGUCAGGAUAUAGGCAAGUGGAAUUGCAGAAUAAUAUUUGGGUGUAUCUGAAUGUUUAUUCUGGGUGACCAUACUGAGCGGUUUCUCACUGUGCCAGACAUGAUAUUCAUCACCUUCUAAACAUUUAAAGAAAUAAACCUUCACAACACAUCAAUAGGAUAGUAUAUUGUGCCUUCUUCACAAGAGAGAAGAGUCGUUAAGUGACUUGUCCAAGGUGCCCCAGUGAGAGAGGGGAUUAGACGCAAUAGAUCAGAUCUUUCUCAUCCCCAGUCUGGGCUUUCCCCCCAUACUCUUCUCCCUGCAAACUUUCACUAUGUAAGGUCAUUUUACUGGAAAAUGUAUUUUGAGGAUUUACUUGAGAUUGCAGAUGUAACAGUCUCCAAUGUGAGCUCCAUGCUGCCCUCUGUUCUAGCAAUAUCUGCUAUCACUCAAUAGGCUUUUAAACUGAGACACUAUGGUAGUAUAAAGCGAAUUCAAAACUUUUAAUGACUGCAGUACAGAGGUUGACAUGCUUUGAGAACAUUCAAGUUAAAAGGACAACAAGUGAAGAAAAAUGAAAGAGAAAGAUACAAAAAUAGGGACUGAAAGCAUGGUUAAAUGUCAGGGAAGAAUUCAGAGGUAGUACUGUGAGAACUCCUAAGUUCUCCCAAAUUUUCAUUAAUUAUACAUUUGCCUAAUACUAUGAAUUGUGGGCAUCAACUGCCCAUUUAUUAUAGACCUUUUAAAAAGAGGGAAAUGCUUUUUACUUGCAUUAGGAAAUUAGGCAAAUUAGUCUUCUCAAAACAGCAAUAUCUUCCGUCUUUGACAUUCAGCUGACGUCACUGUCCAAUUAAUCUUGACUUUCCUGAGGUCAAUAGUCCCCACUUCAUCACAGGUCUUUUCUAUGCUGCAAGAUCUACUUCCUCAUUACCUUUCACUGCCAUAAAAUGUCUAUCUUUAUAAAAUGCCUACUGUGUGGGUGGAGCAUCAGUGCAUGCUAUUCACAUCUAUAUACUUUCCACUGUAAUUCUGUAAGGUAGAUACAAAUUUAAGCCUCAAUUUAAGACAUGAUUUAGAGAGGUUCAGUAAUUUGUACAAGUUCCCAGAUCUAAGGAGUGUCAGGUUAGGGCCUGUUGCUCCAACCUGUCUCAGUUUAACCCUGCUCUUCCCACUUGUUUAUGCUACUUUUUCCGUCACAUUUAUUCAUGCUCCAGGACUUUAAUCGAUUCCUAUGUAUUUACUUAUAAAUCUUAUUAUGGACCAGAUACAUGCCCUCCUUGCUACUUCCACUAAAUAGCAAAUGAAAGGGCAAAAUCUAAAAAGCUGCUGAGCCCACCUUCACAUUUGUGGACCAUGACAAGAAUGCACACGGAAGCUCCUGGCCAAUGGCCUGGUUUCCAUCCUCACUCCUACUUCAAGCUUACAAAGUAAGACGGAAGUCUUGCCUUCAUUUGUAUGGAUACUCCAGGCCAGAAGUUCAAGUUCAUCCCAUACCCUCCACACACAACACUUGGCUAUUUUUACAGGCUAGAAAUACACGCAUUUUUGGCAGUCCACCAUUAAGAACUUGGACUCAGGAAAGUGACUCAUGUAGGCCCUGAAAGCUCCCUAUGGGGAGGCGCUUGGCUGGACCCAUUUGAAACCCCUCAAAAUCAUAAUACCCAUGAGACCUCAGGAUGUUUUUAUUGACUAGUGAUUGGCAAAAAAACAAAACAAAACAAACAAAAAAAGGAGCAUUGCAAUAGAUGAGGUCAUUCCAAGAAUCAAAGAAAAGAGCCAUAAUCAUUGUUUUUAUUUUUCUUCUCAGAGUUGAUAAUGAUUCACCAUCUACAAGACAGCUUUGGCUUACUCUACUUUGAUUCCAACUGAGAACAGCCAAGUUGCAAUGCCUCAUUAAGAAUGUUGUGAUUUUUUUUCUGCUUAUAUAGACACACUUCCCCAGCUUGCUGAACCUGCAUGCUAGCCCUAGAGCUCCUGCCUCUGAAAGGCAGACAACUGCCCUGUUCUCACCCCUGCUGACUCCCACUCUGUGGGGAGCAGGCACUACUUCUGCAGAAAAGCAUGGUAAGUAAUCACGCAUCCUUCGAAGAACCUUAUGUCAGAUAUCGUUACAUCCGUGCAUCAACCUCACUUAUACAUCUUUUGAAUUUCUUAAAGAAUUUUUAAUAUAUUUUCAUGAUACAAGUGAGAUGAAGAUAGCAGGAGAUGAGAGUGGUAUACUAAUUUACAUUUUCUAAUUAGAUCUCAGUUUUCUUUUUUGGUAAGAAAAAUUAUCCAAAGUUCAAUUCUCUGCAAAGGCUGAUCUCUUAUUCCUGUUUUUCACCCAAAGCCCCCUAGGUCGAGGGAAAUAGUAUUUUUUUCUCAUGAAUUUAGAGGUCUAGUAAUCCAUUAAAUUAAAAUGUCAUGUAUUAAAAAACAAUCUAAAUUCCACCCUGAGUCAGGAAAUGAAAACUAAUCUCUUUAGAUUUUAAAUAUAAUAAAUUGUAUGUAAACAGAAGGAAAGGUUGGAGGAAUGAGAUGUUUUACUUAAAAUAAGCCACAUCAUCAGGAAGGGAAACCUCAUGCGGGAUACCUAAUCCUAACAUUUGAUACAUUUGUUUGAUGAAUAUUUACUGAUCAUCCACUAGGAAUACUCCAUAUGGAAUUGGAAGAUAUAAAGAUGAAUACAUUGGUGAUCCUUUAUCCUUUGCCUCAUAGGACUCAGCCUUCUGUAGUGGCAAUAGGCUCAAGAACAACUACAGUGAGUGGGAUUUUUUCAUUGUUAUCAAAGGGAUUUAUUUUUAAAAGUUUCAGUGGAAUGUAAGAGCAAAAAAGACUAUGUUUACUCCAAGAAACAUUUAAUUAUGGACGAUUGGAAGUUUGAAUGAGAAGCUGAUGACCAUCUGUCAAGGAUGCAGGAGAGAGAAUUACUGUGAAGGGUGACUACUAGAUGGAACCUCCUUGUUUCCCAAUUUUCUGAGUCUGAUUCCACGUAUACCUUUUAUGUCUUCCUGGGUGUCCAUUUUCUUUCCUAAGAGCAUGUUUUAAGUUUGGGCAUGAAUAGGUCUUUCUGUGUGACAUGCAUAUAGAGUAUUUUAUCAGUGUCUUUAUAUCUUUUUUUUUUCUAUUUUUAAACAUUAAUACAGAAAGCCCUGUGGUGGACCCAGAGAACAUGACAGAACAUCUGCUUCAGGGAACUUCUGGUCUAGGUGGUUAAGUAAAAACCAAGAUAAUAAUUCUUGGAUUGGUGCCUGCCAAGUGCUUUGCACAAAGAAUCUCAUUUAAUUUCCUCAGCUGUGGAAGCCAGGUAGCAUCAUCAGACCCAUUUCCCAGAAGAGGAGCCUGAGACUUAAAAGGCUAAAUAACUUCUAUUAGGAGUGUAGCAAAUAAGUGGUAAGCCUAGGAUUCGAGAUGAUAUUUAAUAAAUAUUUAGGUAACACUAUAUGUUUCACAGAGAGUAACUCCUUUGUUUAAUCUUCGUAACUACAGUAUGAGAAGAUACCAGUAUUAUUUCCCCUUUAUUUAGGGAAAGAGACAGAGACUCGGGCAUUUGCCUGAGGUCACACAGUUAGGGAAUGGUACAGAACUGGUGUUUGAAGCCAGGCAGUCUGGUUCCCAACCCUUUCUGGUAACCCUUUGCUUCUUAAGUCCAGCUAGAUCCAUCAGGGCCCUGAUAGUUACCACUGCACUGAAUGGCUUCUCCAUCCGUGUGCUCUCUUCUAAAGACAAACUAAUAGAGCAUCAGUGACACCAAGAGAGCUGCUAAUUCAACUGAAUGUAUACAGAUUUUGACUUUUUGUGCUCACUCACCCUACUUAACACACCAACACACCAUUCUU
rnacentral:lncRNA from 1 species